rnacentral:rRNA from 1 species
UACGGGAGGCAGCAGUCGAGAAUCAUUCACAAUGGGGGCAACCCUGAUGGUGCAACGCCGCGUGGAGGAAGAAGGUCUUCGGAUUGUAAACUCCUGUCAUCUAGGAGCAAGGCAUGGUGGUGAAUAGCUAACAUGAUCUGAUAGUACUAGAAGCAGGAAGGGACGGCUAACUUCGUGCCAGCAGCCGCGGUAAUA